rnacentral:lncRNA from 1 species
AGGUACCAUUACUAGAUGGUCACUUCGAUUAGUACAGGAAUUGAUUCAUGUGCUACCGGCUUAGGUUCGAACCUGCGGGGUCACACACAUUAGAGGUUCCUAUCUGAUCUGAUGGCUGAUGAAGAGUCCUAAUGCUUGUGGAUGAUAAGUAGUAUAUUUUUGUAUUUAAUGAAGGUAUUUUGGUAAUUUAUGGUGCUAACAUCUUCUUAA